AUUGAAACAUCGGUUUCCGUACGAUCAACCAAGUUAAGUAACGUCGAGCCUGGUCAGUACCUAGAUGGGUAACAGUUUGAGAAUACCUGGUGCUGUAAG